CUGGGUGGCCGCUUCGCUCCGCCCGGUCGGACCCGCCGGGCGCGGGGGCUGCGGGGGCCGCGGGGAGUCUUAGUGAGCUGCUCCUUUUCAGUAGCUGUUUUAUAAGUGUUACUAAAAGUCUGCUGCCCUUAGACUUUACAAGGUUCUGACGUUAGAGAAAUCCAAAAGAAGUCAAUGGAAAAUGGAAACCAUCGGCUGUCCCCACCUCCGACAGGAGCUGCUCUGUAUAUGCUGUGUGCAGAUUUCUUUGAUGAGAAGGGUGUCGGUUUCUCUUGUAGUUAGACCAGUGACUGAUUCAUCCCUGAACCAUCUCUUCCUCAGGUGAAUGGGAAAAACACAGGAGCAGAUGAAGCAGGCAGUAACUGGAACUUCACUCUGUUGCCAGGACUGUUAUAAACUCAGGCUCUAAAAUCCCCCAGCUGUCCUAAGAACGGAAGCUGUUUUGGGGAUUCACAGCUGUGUGAGGAUCAGCUUCACCCUCCUCUCAGCAAGCGGAAACGUUCGAGCCUUUGGAAAUGGGAACAUGCGCGUUCCCAGCGAGCCACGAGAUGGCACCCACAGCCCCAUUCCCCGUAUCCCUGAACAUCUGCAGAAUUCCAGCCCUUCGGAGAGGUUACAGAGGAUGCAGCUCCUUCCACUUCAUCAAAGUCGGAGGAAGCCUGUGAUUAGCUGGAUGUUUACAAAUAAAAGGAGGAUCUGGAGACAGAUCAAAGAGAACUCUCCAGAUUUGGCACAGAUACCAUAUACUUGUGCAAACAGCAUCUGCAUGGGUUCAACUGUUACAUGAAGUGGCUGAACUUGGUGUAUCUCAUCAUAUAUUAAAAAUGCUUUUUAAUGCUUAGUGCAUUUAUUAGAAGUCUGAAGAGUCAGCCAGCUAAGGAUCUGACAAAAACAAAAAAACAACACCUCCCAGCUAACAAGAUCUUACAGACUCCAUUUAAGAGAAGCACCCACUGGGUUCUUCCUCACCCUCUUUCUGCAGUGUAAAGGGAAUCAAAAAGCAAAGCACUGUUCCAAAAUCCAAAGGAUGUAGUACUUCAGACUCAGUAAACAGGAGCAGUAGCACUCAAAGCCUGUUCUCCAGCAAUCUAAGUAGUUUGGCUGGCCCAAUCACACGAUAUAUGCUCUUCCCUGGAAAGUCUAUAGUUCAUCCAGGAUCUGAGUUACUUUGGCACAGCCCAAAUGACGGGGGAGAGAAGCAGAUGGGAGAUAAAAGAUGUGGUGUGUGAACUACACUAAGUUAAUGUAUAUCUGUUCUAAGGGACAUCUUUGUUUUGACUCUGUGUAACAAACCAACAUAGUUUGUGAGGUCUGGAAGGCCACACUAGACUAUUCCUACUUUCAUAGUAGUGCUCUGUUUGAAGUUGGUAUUUCUAUUUGGGGUCUAAA